rnacentral:rRNA from 1 species
GAUGAACGCUAGCGGCAGGCUUAAUACAUGCAAGUCGAGGGGCAGCAGUUUUGUAGCAAUACAGAAGCUGGCGACCGGCAAACGGGCGCGGAACACGUACGCAACCUUCCUUUAACUGGAAGAUAGCCCACCGAAAGGUGGAUUAAUACUCCAUAACAUAUUUAAGAGGCAUCUCUUUGAUAUUAAAGCUCCGGCGGUUAAAGAUGGGCGUGCGUCUGAUUAGGUAGUUGGCGGGGUAACGGCCCACCACGCCUUCGAGCAGUAGCUGAUGUGGGAGAAUGAUCAGCCACACGGGGACUGAGACACGGGCCCGACUAAUACGGGGGGCAGCAGUAAGGAAUAUUGGUCAAUGGACGCAAGUCUGAACCAGCCAUGCCGCAUGGAGGAUGAAGGCCCUCUGGGUUGUAAACUUCUUUUCUUUGGACGAAACCCCUGUUUCUACGGGGACUGACGGUACCAGAGGAAUAAGCACCGGCUAACUCCGUGCCAGCCGCCGCGGUAAUAC